rnacentral:piRNA from 1 species
CACAAAUUAUGUUGGCGGCUUUCACGGAU